GGCUCGGUAGCUCAGUCGGUAGAGCAAGGGAUUGAAGCUCCCUGUGUCGGCAGUUCGAUUCUGUCCCGCGCCA
rnacentral:tRNA from 1 species